UCCCCAGCCUUUGUCACUAUGCUCUUCCCUAUGACCAGCCCUGCAAGAAACCCGGUGCCAGGCUCUGCCAUGACGUGGGGCCACCGUCACCAGCCAGAUUCCAACACACCAGGGAGAGGCCGAUUCAGAGAGCCACAGCAUCCCAGAGCCACCUGUCAACAGCCAGCUGGUUUGCCUGUCAGGAAGAGGAAGGAGGGUGGGGUUGGCCUCAUCCCCAGAACUUUCCUCCCUCCCUGGAAGGAAGAGGAAGAAGGUACUGUUUAACCCCCAUGACAGAUGAGAAAACAGGUCUGAAGAAGUUGAGAGGCCUGCUGCAAGUCACACUGACGAAGAACCAGAAUUUUGUCCACUACCCGACCCAGGUCAGCUAGAGGGGCAGGGGUUAGUUUUACGGAGUUUGGGGACAUGUCACCCACUCCCCCAAAAAGCCAGAAACUCUGCUUGACCCCAGCCAUGACUCACUUUUCAAAGCAGUGAGCAGCAGUGAGGACCCAGGUGUCCGCCACCAGGGACCCGCUGCAGAUGUGGACCCCCCGCCUCCUCACGCUUGCUUGCCACGGCCACUCGCCAGGCCUGAGCCAGAUCCAAGAAAGGCCUGACUCCAUGUCCCUAGAGCUUACCGUGCUGAGCUGCUUGAAGACCUGGGAAGAGAGAGACACAGGCCCAUCAACAUCUGGGCCAGGAGCGGCCAGGAGAGAUGGGACAUGGAGACGGAGAGACAGAGCCAGAGGGCUCCCAGAACCUGCCGAAGGUCAUUCCAGAAGCAGAGAGGCAGAGAGGGCACAGGGCACAGUGACUACAGACACAGCCUGUAAUCUGGCCCAAGAAAAUCCCACCCGCUUGGACACGGGGGGCCACAUAACACCUCCCCUGCUCCACAGCCAGACACAGUCACAGUCAUAUCAGCGCAGGCCGAGUGUCGCCCCGCAGGCACGCGCCCUCCCGCACACCGAGCUGCAAGGCUGCUGGGACGGAGGGUGGCCCCUGAUCACCCACCGUACCACUUCCCGACCUGCUCAGGCACAGGAGGCUCACCCUCGAUGAGGACCGCUGCUCCCAGGACGAGCAGUCCCAGCCCCCAGCUCUGCUUCAUGCUGCUCUGGGCCACUCUGCCGCCCGGGCUCCCGUGUUCAGAGAGGCCACCUGGGUCUCCCUAGCCCCACCUCUGCUCCGCCCCCAGCUGGCUAAGAGUCAGGUGUCCUCGCUUUUCCUCAGGCCCUGAAGGGAGCCAGCAGCUCCUAGCUCUGGGGCUGUGACUGUGUGACCCUGGGCGAUUCACCACCCCUCCGUGGGGCUCAGCCGUAGCCAGACUGCGUGGGUUCAAAUCCUAGCUCCCCCGGUUACUGCCCGAGUGACCUUAGACAUUAGCCUGUCUGUGAACUCAGAACUGCUGAAUGUGAACAUGCUUGGACCAGAGCCUGACACAGAAUAAACUCGCUCCCAGCCUGGAA